UAGGGAAUCUUCGGCAAUGGGGCAACCCUGACCGAGCAACGCCGCGUGAGUGAAGAAGGUCUUCGGAUCGUAAAGCUCUGUUGUAAGUCAAGAACGGGUGUGAGAGUGGAAAGUUCACACUGUGACGGUAGCUUACCAGAAAGGGACGGCUAACUACGUGCCAGCAGCCGCGGUAAUACGUAGGUCCCGAGCGUUGUCCGGAUUUAUUGGGCGUAAAGCGAGCGCAGGCGGUUUGAUAAGUCUGAAGUUAAAGGCUGUGGCUCAACCAUAGUUCGCUUUGGAAACUGUCAAACUUGAGUGCAGAAGGGGAGAGUGGAAUUCCAUGUGUAGCGGUGAAAUGCGUAGAU
rnacentral:rRNA from 1 species